rnacentral:rRNA from 1 species
CUGGAGGUAUCAGAAGUGCGAAUGCUGACAUAAGUAACGAUAAAGCGGGUGAAAAGCCCGCUCGCCGGAAGACCAAGGGUUCCUGUCCAACGUUAAUCGGGGCAGGGUGAGUCGACCCCUAAGGCGAGGCCGAAAGGCGUAGUCGAUGGGAAACAGGUUAAUAUUCCUGUACUUGGUGUUACUGCGAAGGGGGGACGGAGAAGGCUAUGUUGGCCGGGCGACGGUUGUCCCGGUUUAAGCGUGUAGGCUGGUUUUCCAGGCAAAUCCGGAAAAUCAAGGCUGAGGCGUGAUGACGAGGCACUACGGUGCUGAAGCAACAAAUGCCCUGCUUCCAGGAAAAGCCUCUAAGCAUCAGGUAACAUCAAAUCGUACCCCAAACCGACACAGGUGGUCAGGUAGAGAAUACCAAGGCGCUUGAGAGAACUCGGGUGAAGGAACUAGGCAAAAUGGUGCCGUAACUUCGGGAGAAGGCACGCUGAUAUGUAGGUGAAGCGACUUGCUCGUGGAGCUGAAAUCAGUCGAAGAUACCAGCUGGCUGCAACUGUUUAUUAAAAACACAGCACUGUGCAAACACGAAAGUGGACGUAUACGGUGUGACGCCUGCCCGGUGCCGGAAGGUUAAUUGAUGGGGUCAGCGCAAGCGAAGCUCUUGAUCGAAGCCCCGGUAAACGGCGGCCGUAACUAUAACGGUCCUAAGGUAGCGAAAUUCCUUGUCGGGUAAGUUCCGACCUGCACGAAUGGCGUAAUGAUGGCCAGGCUGUCUCCACCCGAGACUCAGUGAAAUUGAACUCGCUGUGAAGAUGCAGUGUACCCGCGGCAAGACGGAAAGACCCCGUGAACCUUUACUAUAGCUUGACACUGAACAUUGAGCCUUGAUGUGUAGGAUAGGUGGGAGGCUUAGAAGUGUGGACGCCAGUCUGCAUGGAGCCGACCUUGAAAUACCACCCUUUAAUGUUUGAUGUUCUAACGUUGACCCGUAAUCCGGGUUGCGGACAGUGUCUGGUGGGUAGUUUGACUGGGGCGGUCUCCUCCUAAAGAGUAACGGAGGAGCACGAAGGUUGGCUAAUCCUGGUCGGACAUCAGGAGGUUAGUGCAAUGGCAUAAGCCAGCUUGACUGCGAGCGUGACGGCGCGAGCAGGUGCGAAAGCAGGUCAUAGUGAUCCGGUGGUUCUGAAUGGAAGGGCCAUCGCUCAACGGAUAAAAGGUACUCCGGGGAUAACAGGCUGAUACCGCCCAAGAGUUCAUAUCGACGGCGGUGUUUGGCACCUCGAUGUCGGCUCAUCACAUCCUGGGGCUGAAGUAGGUCCCAAGGGUAUGGCUGUUCGCCAUUUAAAGUGGUACGCGAGCUGGGUUUAGAACGUCGUGAGACAGUUCGGUCCCUAUCUGCCGUGGGCGCUGGAGAACUGAGGGGGGCUGCUCCUAGUACGAGAGGACCGGAGUGGACGCAUCACUGGUGUUCGGGUUGUCAUGCCAAUGGCACUGCCCGGUAGCUAAAUGCGGAAGAGAUAAGUGCUGAAAGCAUCUAAGCACGAAACUUGCCCCGAGAUGAGUUCUCCCUGACUCCUUGAGAGUCCUGAAGGAACGUUGAAGACGACGACGUUGAUAGGCCGGGUGUGUAAGCGCAGCGAUGCGUUGAGCUAACCGGUACUAAUGAACCGUGAGGCUUAACCUUACAACGCCGAAG